rnacentral:rRNA from 1 species
ACUGCAGGCUGCAACUCGCCUGCACGAAGUCGGAAUUGCUAGUAAUCGUAGGUCAGCAUACUACGGUGAAUACGUUCCCGGGCCUUGUACACACCGCCCGUCAAACCAUGAGAGUUGGCAACACCCGAAGUCGGUAGUCUAACCGCAAGGAGGACGCCGCCGAAGGUGGGGUUGAUGAUUAGGGUUAAGUCGUAACAAGGUAGC